rnacentral:rRNA from 11 species
GCGACCGAUAGUGAACCAGUACCGUGAGGGAAAGGUGAAAAGCACCCCGACAAGGGGAGUGAAACAGUACCUGAAACCGAGCGCCUACAAGCAGUCGGAGGAUCCUCGAGAUCUGACGGCGUACCUUUUGUAUAAUGGGUCAUCGACUUGGUCUCACGAGCAAGCUUAAGCCGAUAGGUGUAGGCGCAGCGAAAGCGAGUCUGAAUAGGGCGCUUAGUUCGUUGGAUUAGACCCGAAACCGAGUGAUCUAGCCAUGGCCAGGUUGAAGGUGCGGUAACACGCACUGGAGGACCGAACCCACGCCUGUUGAAAAAGUCGGGGAUGAGCUGUGGCUAGGGGUGAAAGGCCAAUCAAACUCGGAAAUAGCUGGUUCUCCGCGAAAUCUAUUUAGGUAGAGCGUCGGAUGAAUACUCUCGGGGGUAGAGCACUGGAUGGGCUAUGGGGGCUUACCGCCUUACUGAUCCUAACCAAACUCCGAAUACCGAGAAGUACUAUCCGGCAGACACACAGUGGGUGCUAACGUCCAUUGUGGAGAGGGAAACAACCCUGACCGCCAGUUAAGGUCCCUAAGUUAUGGCUAAGUGGGAAAGGAUGUAGGACUCCCAAAACAACCAGGAUGUUGGCUUAGAAGCAGCCAUCAUUUAAAGAAAGCGUAACAGCUCACUGGUCAAGCGCUCCUGCGCGGAAAAUGUAACGGGGCUUAAGUGAUACACCGAAGCUGCGGAUUCGAUCUUUGAUCGAGUGGUAGCGGAGCGUUCCGUAGGCCGAUGAAGGCAGACCCGCGAGGGCUGCUGGAGGUAUCGGAAGUGAGAAUGCUGACAUGAGUAGCGACAAAGAGGGUGAGAGACCCUCUCGCCGAAAGUCCAAGGGUUCCUGCGUAAAGCUAAUCUGCGCAGGGUUAGCCGGCCCCUAAGGCGAGGCAGAAAUGCGUAGUCGAUGGGAAACGGGUUAAUAUUCCCGUACUUAUAUAAUCAGUGAUGGAGGGACGGAGAAGGCUAGGCAAGCUUGGCGUUGGUUGUCCAAGUGAAAGUGAGUAGGCUGAAGACUUAGGUAAAUCCGGGUUUUCAAGGCCGAGACACGAGACGAGCCACCACGGUGGUGAAGUUGUUGAUGCCCUGCUUCCAGGAAAAGCUUCUAAACUU